AGACCAAUUUGCAAUCCACUAAAUUUCUUGGAUGGUUUACACAAUAUUUUUGUUUGUUUGUUUUGUUUUGUUAUGUUUUUUUCUCUUACUUACUCAAUUUUCAGAGGUCUUGAAAAUUUUGACUACCUAAUAUAUGACAUGCAAGACUUCAUGAAUCUGGUCUAUGAAAUAAGCUUGUCUUUGAUUUGGGCUACUUAGCUCACACCUUUAUAAGAAAGGUAUCUCUCCUACACUAUGCUACUCAUUGUCUAUAAAGAAUGUGUCUUGGUUGAAAAUGUUACCAAAAAAGUUUUGAGGCAACUUCAAGGCAAGGUUUUGCAGAGAAUUAUAUAAAGAAGAUUCAACGAUAGAUUUCAUGCUGACUAUUUCUUCUUUAAAUCGUUGAACUUGGGUGCUUUUAAGAAUUGGAACUUCAUCAAGCAAAGGCACCUUUUCAAAGUGUAUUCCUAGCAAAAAAAACAUAUUCUGAUUAUGUGGUAAGCUUAAAUGAUGGUCACCAUGCAUACCAUGCAUACAAUGGGAGGACAAAAAGAAGUGAGCAAUUUUUAGCUAAAGAUGUCAAACAUGCUUCACAUUCAAAGUUCUUCUUGUUGAACAUGCCAAGAUAAAAUAGAUACAAACCCAUUGGCAAGUCACGCCUACAAUUUGCACAUUAUUUUUAUCAAAAAACUGCAUUUUCUGUAGGGAAGUACCAAAUCCUGGUAAGAUAAUAUCACCUUUUUCUACAGGUAAGGAAUCCUUUCUAUUCUUUUGAUGAAAACAAUGAGGGAUGUAGUGAAUCAGAGAGACUUUUUGUUUCUUCUAUUUUAUCCAAUGUAUAUUUAUUUUACAUAAGAGAUAUAUAUA
rnacentral:lncRNA from 1 species